UUUCUGAAAUUUGUUCGGAAUACGAGAUUGAAAUAAAAAUACCUCGUCGAUGCAGUCGACAAAAUAAUCGUUGCAACGUUGAAGCGAAAACAGUUGAAGAGUAUUACAAAAUCGCAUUUUACAUACCUUUUCUCGACACCUACAUUUUUCAUCUUCAGAGUCGAUUCCAAAAACACAAAACUGUUUUUCAAAGUUUUGGACAGCUAUUCCUCAAACAAGGAUUCGACGAGAAGAAAUGUGCAAGCCUCUACCAAUUUAACCAAGUAAUACUGGAUUGUUCCGAGAGUAAUUUCAUUUCAUAAGUCAAAAUGUGGAGACAACGGAUCUGCAAUCAAAACAUCGAAAAUGCACUUGAUGCAUUAGCAAUCAUAAAUGGAAUAACUUUCAAAAACCGCAAACAAAAUCCUACGAGUUUUGGCGGUGAUACCCGUGACCCCAGCAACUUCAGAACGAUAAUUUUCUACUUUGAAAAUGGAGAAUGAAAGAUUAUCUGAGAAACACGAUGGGUCAAGAGCGUAUCAAUAGUCUUGUAUCUUUGAACAUUCAUCAUCGCAUAACUUUGACUGAAUUCUUAGAAAGUUUUUUUAAAAACCAUAAGAAAAUUUAAGAGCGACUAGAAUUGUUUGUGGAACAUAUAUUUUUUCUUGAUCAGUCAUAUUGAUUAAAUUCGUAAUUAUCCUCUUUGUUAUUAUCUUCUAUUGCAUUAACUAUUCGAAAAUAAAUUACGAAAUUCUAUUAAUAUUUUUGUGUUUCAACUUCACCAAAAUGCCCAAUAAAAGCAUAAAAUUUGAAAGUAUAUGAUACCAUGAGGGGUUCCGGACCCGAAAACCCCCGCCUCGUGGAUCCGCCACUGGUGUCAAUUGUAAGAAUUGUUUGUGUUGUUUUUGAAAUGUGUGUAUUUGUGUACCCCCUGAAAAGGAAAAAGGUAAAACAAAGUAUUAUUUUCAAACGGAGUAACAAAAAUAGUUUCAAUAAAUUUUGACUGUGUUUCGUUCUCUUUUAAAUGAACGCACACUUUUUUGCACUUUUUUUUUAUAUUUGGAUUGAGGUCAGAUCCUUUAAUUUAGAAAAUUAGAAGAAGUUAUUAGUUAACUUAUACGAAAGGUAUCCAAAAUCUACUAAGACAUAAUUUUCAAUCCUGAGACAGUAUUGACCGAUGAAGCUGUAGCUCUUCUUAUGGAUGAGAGCUUAACAAAAAAAAACAGUGUUGUUCAAUAAGGGAGCUAGCUAAGCAUAAUAUUUUUCCCUAGUGAAACAAGGUGGAUAAAAAAAAAUGACUGCCAUCCCUUUGAAAUGGUGUAGGUAAGUUCUACUUCGGAUACACAUUUGGAGGUCAUUUCAGAUUAUCAAGUUAAAUUUUCCUUUGAUAUGAAACUACAAACCAAAGAACAAAUGCAAUGACAAUAGAAAUGAGUUAUGUUAAGUUGAGGCGACGAUGCGGGGCCAGUCACUGACACCCCCAUCCACUUGAGCCGCCGGGGCUACAUAUGAUACCGCAUAGGCAAGAGGUCUUACAAGGGGACCUCCCCCUCCUAUCUACUAAUGUGCCCAAGAGUGUGCUAUUUUUCCUGCGGCUCGCGGUCCCAUCAAGCUUCCCGGAUGAAGGUAACAAGUCUGCGUGGAGCGAGGUGUGUUAGGUCCGUGAGUGCAAUGACACAGGAGGUGUGCGGCGGUCUCUUCCUCUUCUACAUCCCCACAGCUCCUGCAGUAAUCAUAGUGUGGCACCGCUAAUCUAACCACCUAGUGAUGGCCUUGGCUGCAAGACUGCUGUCCUGCCUAAUGAGAGUGAUAAGCAUCAUUGAUCUUUUCCUAGAGCGGAGUUUCUGAAAUUUGUUCGGAAUACGAGAUUGAAAUAAAAAUACCUCGUCGAUGCAGUCGACAAAAUAAUCGUUGCAACGUUGAAGCGAAAACAGUUGAAGAGUAUUACAAAAUCGCAUUUUACAUACCUUUUCUCGACACCUACAUUUUUCAUCUUCAGAGUCGAUUCCAAAAACACAAAACUGUUUUUCAAAGUUUUGGACAGCUAUUCCUCAAACAAGGAUUCGACGAGAAGAAAUGUGCAAGCCUCUACCAAUUUAACCAAGUAAUACUGGAUUGUUCCGAGAGUAAUUUCAUUUCAUAAGUCAAAAUGUGGAGACAACGGAUCUGCAAUCAAAACAUCGAAAAUGCACUUGAUGCAUUAGCAAUCAUAAAUGGAAUAACUUUCAAAAACCGCAAACAAAAUCCUACGAGUUUUGGCGGUGAUACCCGUGACCCCAGCAACUUCAGAACGAUAAUUUUCUACUUUGAAAAUGGAGAAUGAAAGAUUAUCUGAGAAACACGAUGGGUCAAGAGCGUAUCAAUAGUCUUGUAUCUUUGAACAUUCAUCAUCGCAUAACUUUGACUGAAGACGAAAUUCUUAGAAAGUUUUUUUAAAAACCAUAAGAAAAUUUAAGAGCGACUAGAAUUGUUUGUGGAACAUAUAUUUUUCUUGAUCAGUCAUAUUGAUUAAAUUCGUAAUUAUCCUCUUUGUUAUUAUCUUCUAUUGCAUUAACUAUUCGAAAAUAAAUUACGAAAUUCUAUUAA